GCUCAAUGAUUUUUUAAAUUGCUGUAGUAUUUUGACUAUACAAAGGUAUUGAAAUAAGGUUUUAAUUGAAUGCUAAAAGAAUGGAAUAUCAAAGAAUAACUUCCUUAAAAUUAAAAAUUGAAAUUUUUUUAAUUUGUGUAAAAACAAUUAUAUAAAUUAAAGACAAGAAGACCCUAAGAAUUUUUAAAAUUUAAAUUAACACAUUUUUGUUUUAAUUAAAUUUUAACUGGGGCGGUUAAAAAAUAUUAAAAACUUUUUAAUUUUGAAAAUGACCCAUUAUUAAUGAAAAUAUGAUAAAAUACUCUAGGGAUAACAGCGUUAUAUUUUUUGAUAGAUCAUAUUGACAAAAAAGUUUGCGACCUCGAUGUUGGAUUAGGAUACUUUUUUAAUGAAGAUAUUAAAAUAAGAAGUUUGUUCAACUUUUAAAUUCCUACUUGAUCUGAGUUCAGACCGG
rnacentral:rRNA from 1 species